UACGAAGGGGGCUAGCGUUGCUCGGAAUGACUGGGCGUAAAGGGCGCGUAGGCGGAUGGCACAGUCAGAUGUGAAAUUCCCGGGCUUAACCUGGGGGCUGCAUUUGAUACGUGUGAUCUAGGGUGAGGAAGAGGGUCGUGGAAUUCCCAGUGUAGAGGUGAAAUUCGUAGAUAUUGGGAAGAACACCGGUGGCGAAGGCGGCGACCUGGUCCUUGACUGACGCUGAGGCGCGAAAGCGUGGGGGAGCAAACAGGAUUAGAUACCCUGGUAGUCCACGCUGUAAACGAUGUGUGCUGGAUGUUGGGCGACCUAGUCGCUCAGUGUCGUAGCUAACGCGAUAAGCACACCGCCUGGGAAGUACGGCCGCAAGGUUGAAACUCA
rnacentral:rRNA from 1 species